rnacentral:rRNA from 1 species
AGUGAACGCUGGCGGUAGGCCUAACACAUGCAAGUCGAACGGCAGCACAGUAAGAGCUUGCUCUUACGGGUGGCGAGUGGCGGACGGGUGAGGAAUACAUCGGAAUCUACUUUUUCGUGGGGGAUAACGUAGGGAAACUUACGCUAAUACCGCAUACGACCUACGGGUGAAAGCAGGGGAUCUUCGGACCUUGCGCGAUUGAAUGAGCCGAUGUCGGAUUAGCUAGUUGGCGGGGUAAAGGCCCACCAAGGCGACGAUCCGUAGCUGGUCUGAGAGGAUGAUCAGGCCAACUGGAACAGGGAAACGGGCCCGACCCCCACGGGAGGGAACAGGUGGGAAAUUUGGACAAAGGGGGGAAGGCGUGAUCCAGCCAGCCGGGUGGGGUAAAAAAGGCUUGUGGUUUGAAAACCCUUUUUGUUGGGAAAAAAGACCGGAAGGUUAAAACCCCCUUUUUUUGAGGGACCCAAAAAAAAAACACCGGCUAAAUUUGGG